rnacentral:rRNA from 1 species
GGCAGGGGGGCAUGCUAUAAUGCAGUCGAGCGGACAGAUGGGAGCUUGCUCCCUGAUGUUAGCGGCGGACGGGUGAGUAACACGUGGGUAACCUGCCUGUAAGACUGGGAUAACUCCGGGAAACCGGGGCUAAUACCGGAUGCUUGUUUGAACCGCAUGGUUCAAACAUAAAAGGUGGCUUCGGCUACCACUUACAGAUGGACCCGCGGCGCAUUAGCUAGUUGGUGAGGUAAUGGCUCACCAAGGCAACGAUGCGUAGCCGACCUGAGAGGGUGAUCGGCCACACUGGGACUGAGACACGGCCCAGACUCCUACGGGAGGCAGCAGUAGGGAAUCUUCCGCAAUGGACGAAAGUCUGACGGAGCAACGCCGCGUGAGUGAUGAAGGUUUUCGGAUCGUAAAGCUCUGUUGUUAGGGAAGAACAAGUACCGUUCGAAUAGGGCGGUACCUUGACGGUACCUAACCAGAAAGCCACGGCUAACUACGUGCCAGCAGCCGCGGUAAUACGUAGGUGGCAAGCGUUGUCCGGAAUUAUUGGGCGUAAAGGGCUCGCAGGCGGUUUCUUAAGUCUGAUGUGAAAGCCCCCGGCUCAACCGGGGAGGGUCAUUGGAAACUGGGGAACUUGAGUGCAGAAGAGGAGAGUGGAAUUCCACGUGUAGCGGUGAAAUGCGUAGAGAUGUGGAGGAACACCAGUGGCGAAGGCGACUCUCUGGUCUGUAACUGACGCUGAGGAGCGAAAGCGUGGGGAGCGAACAGGAUUAGAUACCCUGGUAGUCCACGCCGUAAACGAUGAGUGCUAAGUGUUAGGGGGUUUCCGCCCCUUAGUGCUGCAGCUAACGCAUUAAGCACUCCGCCUGGGGAGUACGGUCGCAAGACUGAAACUCAAAGGAAUUGACGGGGGCCCGCACAA